rnacentral:rRNA from 1 species
UGGGGAAUAUUGGACAAUGGGCGCAAGCCUGAUCCAGCAAUGCCGCGUGAGUGAUGAAGGCCUUAGGGUCGUAAAGCUCUUUUACCAGGGAUGAUAAUGACAGUACCUGGAGAAUAAGCUCCGGCUAACUCCGUGCCAGCAGCCGCGGUAAUACGGAGGGAGCUAGCGUUGUUCGGAAUUACUGGGCGUAAAGCGUACGUAGGCGGUUAUUCAAGUCAGAGGUGAAAGCCCGGGGCUCAACCCCGGAACGGCCUUUGAAACUAGGUAGCUAGAAUCUUGGAGAGGUCAGUGGAAUUCCGAGUGUAGAGGUGAAAUUCGUAGAUAUUCGGAAGAACACCAGUGGCGAAGGCGACUGACUGGACAAGUAUUGACGCUGAGGUACGAAAGCGUGGGGAGCAAACAGGAUUAGAUACCCUGGUAGUCCACGCCGUAAACGAUGAUAACUAGCUGUCCGGGCACUUGGUGCCUGGGUGGCGCAGCUAACGCAUUAAGUUAUCCGCCUGGGGAGUACGGUCGCAAGAUUA